rnacentral:rRNA from 1 species
AUGAACGCUAGCUACAGGCUUAACACAUGCAAGUCGAGGGGCAGCGUGGAGCAGCAAUACUCUGACGGCGACCGGCGGAAGGGUGCGUAACACGUGAGCGACUUGCCCGUCACAGGGGGAUAACCGGCGGAAACGGCGACUAAUACCCCAUAUGAUGCGAUGCUGCAUGGCAUUGCAUUGAAAGAUUCAUCGGUGGCGGAUAGGCUCGCGGGACAUUAGCUAGACGGCGGGGCAACGGCCCACCGUGGCGACGAUGUCUAGGGGUUCUGAGAGGAAGGCCCCCCACACUGGGACUGAGACACGGCCCAGACUCCUACGGGAGGCAGCAGUGAGGAAUAUUGGUCAAUGGGCGGAAGCCUGAACCAGCCAUGCCGCGUGAAGGACUAAGGCCCUACGGGUCGUAAACUUCUUUAGACGCAGAGCAAUAAAGUCCACGCGUGGACCGAUGAGAGUAUGCGUAGAAUAAGCAUCGGCUAACUCCGUG